GACCUCGGAUCAGGUAGGAAUACCCGCUGAACUUAAGCAUAUCAAUAAGCGGAGGAAAAGAAACCAACAGGGAUUGCCCUAGUAACGGCGAGUGAAGCGGCAACAGCUCAAAUUUGAAAUCUGGCUCUCGGGCCCGAGUUGUAAUUUGUAGAGGAUGCUUUUGAUGCGGUGCCUUCCGAGUUCCCUGGAACGGGACGCCAUAGAGGGUGAGAGCCCCGUCUGGUUGGAUGCCAAAUCUCUGUAAAGCUCCUUCGACGAGUCGAGUAGUUUGGGAAUGCUGCUCUAAAUGGGAGGUAUAUGUCUUCUAAAGCUAAAUACCGGCCAGAGACCGAUAGCGCACAAGUAGAGUGAUCGAAAGAUGAAAAGCACUUUGAAAAGAGAGUUAAAAAGUACGUGAAAUUGUUGAAAGGGAAGCGUUUAUGACCAGACUUGGGCUUGGUUAAUCAUCUAGGGGUUCUCCCCAGUGCACUUUUUCCAGUCCAGGGCAAGCAUCAGUU
rnacentral:rRNA from 1 species